AGAGGAGCUUGCUUCUUGGAUCAGUGGCGAACGGGUGAGUAACACGUGAGUAACCUGCCCUUGACUCUGGGAUAACUGCUAGAAAUGGUAGCUAAUACCGGAUACGACCCUCGGCCGCAUGGUCAGGGGGUGGAAAGAAUUUUGGUCAAGGAUGGACUCGCGGCCUAUCAGGUAGUUGGCGAGGUAAUGGCUCACCAAGCCUACGACGGGUAGCCGGCCUGAGAGGGUGACCGGCCACACUGGGACUGAGACACGGCCCAGACUCCUACGGGAGGCAGCAGUGGGGAAUAUUGCACAAUGGGCGAAAGCCUGAUGCAGCAACGCCGCGUGAGGGACGACGGCCUUCGGGUUGUAAACCUCUUUUAGUAGGGAAGAAGCGAAAGUGACGGUACCUGCAGAAAAAGCACCGGCUAACUACGUGCCAGCAGCCGCGGUAAUACGUAGGGUGCAAGCGUUGUCCGGAAUUAUUGGGCGUAAAGAGCUCGUAGGCGGUUUGUCGCGUCUGCUGUGAAAUCCGGAGGCUCAACCUCCGGCCUGCAGUGGGUACGGGCAGACUAGAGUGCGGUAGGGGAGAUUGGAAUUCCUGGUGUAGCGGUGGAAUGCGCAGAUAUCAGGAGGAACACCAAUGGCGAAGGCAGAUCUCUGGGCCGUAAC
rnacentral:rRNA from 1 species